rnacentral:rRNA from 1 species
UUAAGCGACUAAGCGUACACGGUGGAUGCCCUGGCAGUCAGAGGCGAUGAAGGACGUGCUAAUCUGCGAAAAGCGCCGGCGAGGUGAUAUGAACCUUUGACCCGGCGAUGUCCGAAUGGGGAAACCCAGUGCAAUCCGUUGCACUAUCGUUAACUGAAUACAUAGGUUAACGAGGCGAACCGGGGGAACUGAAACAUCUAAGUACCCCGAGGAAAAGAAAUCAACCGAGAUUCCCCCAGUAGCGGCGAGCGAACGGGGAGCAGCCCGGAGUCUGAAUCAGCUUGUGUGUUAGUGGAACGGUCUGGAAAGUCCGACGGUACAGGGUGAUAGUCCCGUACACGAAAGCACACUUGCUGUGAACUCGAAGAGUAGGGCGGGACACGUGGUAUCCUGUCUGAAUAUGGGGGGACCAUCCUCCAAGGCUAAAUACUCCUGACUGACCGAUAGUGAACCAGUACCGUGAGGGAAAGGCGAAAAGAACCCCGGCGAGGGGAGUGAAAAAGAACCUGAAACCGUGUACGUACAAGCAGUGGGAGCCUCUUUAUGGGGUGACUGCGUACCUUUUGUAUAAUGGGUCAGCGACUUAUAUUCUGUAGCAAGGUUAACCGUAUAGGGGAGCCGAAGGGAAACCGAGUCUUAACUGGGCGUUAAGUUGCAGGGUAUAGACCCGAAACCCGGUGAUCUAGCCAUGGGCAGGUUGAAGGUUGGGUAACACUAACUGGAGGACCGAACCGACUAAUGUUGAAAAAUUAGCGGAUGACCUGUGGCUGGGGGUGAAAGGCCAAUCAAACCGGGAGAUAGCUGGUUCUCCCCGAAAGCUAUUUAGGUAGCGCCUCGUGAACUCAUCUUCGGGGGUAGAGCACUGUUUCGGCUAGGGGGCCAUCCCGGCUUACCAACCCGAUGCAAACUACGAAUACCGAAGAAUGUUAUCACGGGAGACACACGGCGGGUGCUAACGUCCGUCGUGAAGAGGGAAACAACCCAGACCGCCAGCUAAGGUCCCAAAGUCAUGGUUAAGUGGGAAACGAUGUGGGAAGGCACAGACAGCCAGGAUGUUGGCUUAGAAGCAGCCAUCAUUUAAAGAAAGCGUAAUAGCUCACUGGUCGAGUCGGCCUGCGCGGAAGAUGUAACGGGGCUAAACCAUGCACCGAAGCUGCGGCAGCGACGCUUAUGCGUUGUUGGGUAGGGGAGCGUUCUGUAAGCCGUUGAAGGUGUCCUGUGAGGGGUGCUGGAGGUAUCAGAAGUGCGAAUGCUGACAUAAGUAACGAUAAAGCGGGUGAAAAGCCCGCUCGCCGGAAGACCAAGGGUUCCUGUCCAACGUUAAUCGGGGCAGGGUGAGUCGACCCCUAAGGCGAGGCCGAAAGGCGUAGUCGAUGGGAAACAGGUUAAUAUUCCUGUACUUGGUGUUACUGCGAAGGGGGGACGGAGAAGGCUAUGUCAGCCGGGCGACGGUUGUCCCGGUUUAAGCAUGUAGGCGGAGGUUCCAGGUAAAUCCGGUACCUUAUUAACGCUGAGGUGUGAUGACGAGGCACUACGGUGCUGAAGUGAUAAAUGCCCUGCUUCCAGGAAAAGCCUCUAAGCAUCAGGUAACACGAAAUCGUACCCCAAACCGACACAGGUGGUCAGGUAGAGAAUACCAAGGCGCUUGAGAGAACUCGGGUGAAGGAACUAGGCAAAAUGGUGCCGUAACUUCGGGAGAAGGCACGCUGAUGUGUAGGUGAAGUCCCUGCGGACGGAGCUGAAAUCAGUCGAAGAUACCAGCUGGCUGCAACUGUUUAUUAAAAACACAGCACUGUGCAAACACGAAAGUGGACGUAUACGGUGUGACGCCUGCCCGGUGCCGGAAGGUUAAUUGAUGGGGUUAGCGGCAACGCGAAGCUCUUGAUCGAAGCCCCGGUAAACGGCGGCCGUAACUAUAACGGUCCUAAGGUAGCGAAAUUCCUUGUCGGGUAAGUUCCGACCUGCACGAAUGGCGUAAUGAUGGCCAGGCUGUCUCCACCCGAGACUCAGUGAAAUUGAACUCGCUGUGAAGAUGCAGUGUACCCGCGGCAAGACGGAAAGACCCCGUGAACCUUUACUAUAGCUUGACACUGAACACUGGUCCUUGAUGUGUAGGAUAGGUGGGAGGCUUUGAAGCGUGGACGCCAGUCUGCGUGGAGCCAACCUUGAAAUACCACCCUUUAAUGGCUGGUGUUCUAACGUAGACCCGUAAUCCGGGUUGCGGACAGUGUCUGGUGGGUAGUUUGACUGGGGCGGUCUCCUCCCAAAGAGUAACGGAGGAGCACGAAGGUUGGCUAAUCCUGGUCGGACAUCAGGAGGUUAGUGCAAUGGCAUAAGCCAGCUUGACUGCGAGCGUGACGGCGCGAGCAGGUGCGAAAGCAGGUCAUAGUGAUCCGGUGGUUCUGAAUGGAAGGGCCAUCGCUCAACGGAUAAAAGGUACUCCGGGGAUAACAGGCUGAUACCGCCCAAGAGUUCAUAUCGACGGCGGUGUUUGGCACCUCGAUGUCGGCUCAUCACAUCCUGGGGCUGAAGUAGGUCCCAAGGGUAUGGCUGUUCGCCAUUUAAAGUGGUACGCGAGCUGGGUUUAGAACGUCGUGAGACAGUUCGGUCCCUAUCUGCCGUGGGCGCUGGAGAAUUGAGGGGGGCUGCUCCUAGUACGAGAGGACCGGAGUGGACGCAUCACUGGUGUUCGGGUUGUCAUGCCAAUGGCACUGCCCGGUAGCUAAAUGCGGAAGAGAUAAGUGCUGAAAGCAUCUAAGCACGAAACUUGCCCCGAGAUGAGUUCUCCCUGAGACCUUGAGUCUCCUGAAGGAACGUUGAAGACGACGACGUUGAUAGGUCGGGUGUGUAAGCGCAGCGAUGCGUUGAGCUAACCGAUACUAAUGAACCGUGAGGCUUAACCUU